AAAGCGGCGNNGCUAUACAUGCAAGUCGAGCGGACAGAUGGGAGCUUGCUCCCUGAUGUUAGCGGCGGACGGGUGAGUAACACGUGGGUAACCUGCCUGUAAGACUGGGAUAACUCCGGGAAACCGGGGCUAAUACCGGAUGGUUGUUUGAACCGCAUGGUUCAGACAUAAAAGGUGGCUUCGGCUACCACUUACAGAUGGACCCGCGGCGCAUUAGCUAGUUGGUGAGGUAACGGCUCACCAAGGCGACGAUGCGUAGCCGACCUGAGAGGGUGAUCGGCCACACUGGGACUGAGACACGGCCCAGACUCCUUACGGGAGGCAGCAGUAGGGAAUCUUCCGCAAUGGACGAAAGUCUGACGGAGCAACGCCGCGUGAGUGAUGAAGGUUUUCGGAUCGUAAAGCUCUGUUGUUAGGGAAGAACAAGUGCCGUUCAAAUAGGGCGGCACCUUGACGGUACCUAACCAGAAAGCCACGGCUAACUACGUGCCAGCAGCCGCGGUAAUACGUAGGUGGCAAGCGUUGUCCGGAAUUAUUGGGCGUAAAGGGCUCGCAGGCGGUUUCUUAAGUCUGAUGUGAAAGCCCCCGGCUCAACCGGGGAGGGUCAUUGGAAACUGGGGAACUUGAGUGCAGAAGAGGAGAGUGGAAUUCCACGUGUAGCGGUGAAAUGCGUAGAGAUGUGGAGGAACACCAGUGGCGAAGGCGACUCUCUGGUCUGUAACUGACGCUGAGGAGCGAAAGCGUGGGGAGCGAACAGGAUUAGAUACCCUGGUAGUCCACGCCGUAAACGAUGAGUGCUAAGUGUUAGGGGGUUUCCGCCCCUUAGUGCUGCAGCUAACGCAUUAAGCACUCCGCCUGGGGAGUACGGUCGCAAGACUGAAACUCAAAGGAAUUGACGGGGGCCCGCACAAGCGGUGGAGCAUGUGGUUUAAUUCGAAGCAACGCGAAGAACCUUACCAGGUCUUGACAUCCUCUGACAAUCCUAGAGAUAGGACGUCCCCUUCGGGGGCAGAGUGACAGGUGGUGCAUGGUUGUCGUCAGCUCGUGUCGUGAGAUGUUGGGUUAAGUCCCGCAACGAGCGCAACCCUUGAUCUUAGUUGCCAGCAUUCAGUUGGGCACUCUAAGGUGACUGCCGGUGACAAACCGAGAGGAAGGUGGGGAUGACGUCAAAUCAUCAUGCCCCUUAUGACCUGGGCUACACACGUGCUACAAUGGACAGAACAAAGGGCAGCGAAACCGCGAGGUUAAGCCAAUCCCACAAAUCUGUUCUCAGUUCGGAUCGCAGUCUGCAACUCGACUGCGUGAAGCUGGAAUCGCUAGUAAUCGCGGAUCAGCAUGCCGCGGUGAAUACGUUCCCGGGCCUUGUACACACCGCCCGUCACACCACGAGAGUUUGUAACACCCGAAGUCGGUGAGGUAACCUUUAGGAGCCAGCCGCCUCGAAGGGGCCCAUG
rnacentral:rRNA from 1 species